rfam:Oryza sativa (indica cultivar-group) chromosome 1, whole genome shotgun sequence.
AAAAAGAUAAACUCUGGGUUUCCGUGUCCAACGUUUGACUGUCCGUCUUAUAUGAAUUUUUUUUAUAAUUAGUAUUUUCAUUGUUGUUAGAUGAUAAAACAUGAUUAAUACUUUAUGCGUGACUUGUCUUUUUAAUUUUUUUUCAUAAUUUUUUCAAAUAAGACGGACGGUCAAAUGUUGAACACGGAAGUCUAGAGUUUGUCUUUUU